rnacentral:rRNA from 1 species
CAGCCGCCACGGUAAUACGGAGGAUCCAAGCGUUAUCCGGAAUCAUUGGGUUUAAAGGGUCCGUAGGCGGUCUUGUAAGUCAGUGGUGAAAGCCCAUCGCUCAACGGUGGAACGGCCAUUGAUACUGCAGGACUUGAAUUAUUGGGAAGUAACUAGAAUAUGUAGUGUAGCGGUGAAAUGCUUAGAGAUUACAUGGAAUACCAAUUGCGAAGGCAGGUUACUACCAAUUGAUUGACGCUGAUGGACGAAAGCGUGGGUAGCGAACAGGAUUAGAUACCCCCGUAGUCCCUGUCUCUUAUAU